rnacentral:SRP_RNA from 1 species
GCUGGGCAUGGUGGUGCAUGCCUGUAGUUCCAGCCACUUGGGAGGCUGAGGCGGGAGGACCACUUGAGCCCAGGAGGUCCAGGCUGCAGUGAGCCAAGAUUGUGCCACUGCACUCCAGCCUGGGCAACAGAGCAAGACCUUGUCUCAA